rnacentral:ribozyme from 14 species
UUUUUUUUUUUUUUUUUUUUUUUUUUUUCAUUAGACCGCGCAAACCGGGAAAAUGUCCAAGUAAGGUCGAGUUCCGUUGUCUCAA